rnacentral:rRNA from 1 species
GUGCCAGCAGCCGCGGUAAUACGGAGGGUGCAAGCGUUAAUCGGAAUCACUGGGCGUAAAGGGCACGCAGGCGGUUGGAUAAGUCGGGUGUGAAAGCCCCGGGCUCAACCUGGGAAUGGCAUUCGAUACUGUCUAGCUAGAGUCUGGUAGAGGGAAGUGGAAUUUCCGGUGUAGCGGUGAAAUGCGUAGAUAUCGGAAGGAACACCAGUGGCGAAGGCGACUUCCUGGACCAAGACUGACGCUGAGGUGCGAAAGCGUGGGUAGCAAACAGGAUUAGAAACCCCAGUAGUCC